rnacentral:tRNA from 1 species
GGGGAUGUAGGUCAGUGGUAGAUCACUUGGCUAGCAUGCAGAAGGCCCUGGGUUCAAUCUUCAGUAUCACCC